rnacentral:rRNA from 1 species
GUAGGGAAUAUUGGGCAAUGGAGGCAACUCUGACCCAGCCAUGCCGCGUGCAGGAUGACGGCCCUCUGGGUUGUAAACUGCUUUUAUACGGGAAGAAAAAAUACUACGUGUAGUAUACUGACGGUACCGUAAGAAUAAGGAUCGGCUAACUCCGUGCCAGCAGCCGCGGUAAUACGGAGGAUCCAAGCGUUGUCCGGAUUUAUUGGGUUUAAAGGGUGCGUAGGCGGAUCUUUAAGUCAGUGGUGAAAGCCUGCAGCUUAACUGUAGAAUUGCCAUUGAAACUGAAGGUCUUGAAUGUGGUUAAAGUAGGCGGAAUGUAUCAUGUAGCGGUGAAAUGCUUAGAUAUGAUACAGAACACCGAUAGCGAAGGCAGCUUGCUGAACCAUUAUUGACGCUGAGGCACGAAAGCGUGGGGAGCGAACAGGAUUAGAAACCCGUGUAGUCC